UGUUUUAGCUAAUUAAAGUGUUGAGGUAUUCUUUUUAAAUAAUUAUUAUGUUAAUUUAUGCAUCUGGAGAUUUUUUUUUUAAUUUUUUUUUUCCGAUUGCUUGGUCUUGCUCUUCCGUGUUUUUAAUGGUAUUGUUUUGUGCUUGGAAUUGGAAUUGGUAAUGGUAAUAGUGUUUCUGUGAUGGGUCUGAGGGAAAAAGGUGAUUCAAGGAAGAUUCAGUUUUGUUGGGGUAAAGGGUAGUUGCCCCUAAUAUGAUGGAGUAUCUUCUACGUAUACCAUAUUUGAUAUUCCUUCUAUUUUGUUUUUGAAUCAAUAGCUAUGUUGAACGCGUACUUGACCGGAUAAGCAAUGGUAAACUAGCAGAGGACAGAAGCAAAGGCAUCAGAUGUUGGAAGUGGUGCUCCAUCACCAAAC